rnacentral:rRNA from 1 species
GACGAACGCUGGCGGCGUGCCUAAUACAUGCAAGUCGAACGCACUCUCGUUAGAUUGAAGAAGCUUGCUUCUGAUUGAUAACAUUUGAGUGAGUGGCGGACGGGUGAGUAACACGUGGGUAACCUGCCCUAAAGUGGGGGAUAACAUUUGGAAACAGAUGCUAAUACCGCAUAAAACCUAGCACCGCAUGGUGCAAGGUUGAAAGAUGGUUUCGGCUAUCACUUUAGGAUGGACCCGCGGUGCAUUAGUUAGUUGGUGAGGUAAAGGCUCACCAAGACCGUGAUGCAUAGCCGACCUGAGAGGGUAAUCGGCCACACUGGGACUGAGACACGGCCCAGACUCCUACGGGAGGCAGCAGUAGGGAAUCUUCCACAAUGGACGAAAGUCUGAUGGAGCAACGCCGCGUGAGUGAAGAAGGUUUUCGGAUCGUAAAACUCUGUUGUUGGAGAAGAACGUAUUUGAUAGUAACUGAUCAGGUAGUGACGGUAUCC